rnacentral:rRNA from 1 species
CCUACGGGGAGCAGCAGUGAGGAAUAUUGGUCAAUGGACGAGAGUCUGAACCAGCCAAGUAGCGUGAAGGAUGACUGCCCUAUGGGUUUUAAACUUCUUUUAUAUGGGAAUAAAACGUUCCACGUGUGGGAUUUUGUAUGUACCAUAUGAAUAAGGAUCGGCUAACCCCGUGCCAGCAGCCGCGGUAAUACGGAGGAUCCGAGCGUUAUCCGGAUUUAGUGGGUUUAAAGGGAGCGUAGGUGGAUUGUUAAGUCAGUUGUGAAAGUUUGGGGCUCAACCGGAAAAUUGCAGUUGAUACUGGCAGUCUUGAGUGCAGUAGAGGUGGGCGGAAUUCGUGGUGGAGCGGUGAAAUGCUUAGAGAUCACGAAGAACGCCGAUUGCGAAGGCAGUUCACUGGACUGCAACUGACGCUGAGGCUCGAAAGUGUGGGUAUCAAACAGGAUUAGAUACCCCAGUAGUC